GAGCAUUAGUCUAAACCUACCAGUGGAUGGCUCGGUUCAAGUGCCGAAGAAGGGCGUGCCAAGCUGCGAUAAGCUCCGGGUAGACGCAAGGAAUCUAUGAUCCGGAGAUGCCCUAAUAGGACAUCCUGACGCUUUAUGCGUCUUUCCGUAAGGAAAGGGAACGCCCCGAAUUGAAACAUCUCAGUAGGGGCAGGAGAAGAAAUCAACCGAGAUGUCGUUAGUAGAGGCGAUCGAACACGACAGAGCUCAAACCGAAUCCCGCAAGGGAGAUGUGGUGUUAUAAGCCCACCGUACGAUGCCGGAUGUGAAGCGGAAGUUGCCUGGAAGGGCACACUACAGAGGGUGAAAGUCCCGUACGCAGAAGCAGACGGUGUUAGGUGGUGUCUUGAGUACCGCGGGUUGGAAUUCUCGCGGGAAUUCAGGGGUCAUCAACCCCUAAAGCUAAAUACACCUUGAAACCGAUAGCGAAUUAGUAGCGUGAGCGAAAGCUGAAAAGUAACCCUGAAAAGGUGGUUAAAAGUGCCUGAAAUUGGUAGGUGAUCGCGGGUUGCGGCAUGAAAGGAUCUUCCUUAUGAAGGAACCCGUCGCGAGGCGGUAGUACGGGUAAGGUUGCCAGUGUCGCAACGUACGUUUUGAAGAACGGGCCAGAGAGUUUAUUCUGUUGGCGAAGGUUAACCCACAAGGGGAGCCAUAGGGAAACCAACAAGUCCGUAGCAGCAAUGCGUGGGACGGCGUAUUAAAAGUGCGUGGAGUCAGCAGGAUAAGACCCGAAGCCGAGUGAUCUAUGCGUUGGCAGGUUGAAGCGUGACGAAAGUUGCGUGGAGGACCGCAAGCCGUAUUGAUAUGCAAAUCAUUGGUGUGACCUACGUAUAGGAGUGAAAGAUUAAUCGAACCCGGCAUCAGCUGGUUCCUCCCUAAACAUGUCGCAGCAUGACCUAACCGGAGAUAGUCGGUGAGGUAGAGCACUGAUUGGGGGAGCUGGGCGGGAAACUGCUCACCCCCCUGUCAAACUCCAAACUCCCCGACAUCCUAGAUGGUUGGAAGUCCGCAUUACGGGGUAAGCUUGUAAUGCGUAAGGGAAACAACCCAGACCGUGGUUAAUGUCCCUCAAUGUAGGCUCAGUGUCAACACUGAAAUUGGUCCUAGGUCAAAGACAACUGGAAGGUGAGCUCAGAAGCAGCUAUCCUUUAAAAAGUGCGUAACAGCUUACCAGUCAAGAUUUAGGGCGGUGAAAAUGGACGGGGCUAAAGCCUACUACAGAGACCACGGAGCACCGAAAGGUGAUCUGGUAGGGAGGCGCUCUGCGUGGGUAGAAGCUGGGGCGUGAGUUCCAGUGGACCGCGUAGUGAUGAGAAUUCUGGCAGUAGUAGAAGCAUAGUUGGGUGAGAAUCCCAACCGCCGCAGGGGCUAGGUUUCCUCGGCAACGUUCGUCAGCCGAGGGUUAGUCGGUCCUAAGGUGCGUCGUAACUCGAACGUACCGAAUGGGAAACAGGUUAAUAUUCCUGUACCAUGUGGUUUUAAGUCGCAAGACCCUGACGCUUUGGGAUAUGCUCAGCGGGACUGUCAUCCCGUCCAAGCACAUAAACUGGUGGAGUACCGUAAUGGUGAGAAUCCGGUGAAAGUGUGAUGGGGUAACUAAGCAAAUUCCUUGAGCCCAUGAAAAGGGAAUCACAUGUCCGUACCGAGAACCGACACAGGUGCCCCUCGCUGAAGAGGUGUAGGCGUGUCGGAUUUAAUCGUAGUUAAGGGAACUCGGCAAAUUGGCCCCGUAACUUUGGGAUAAGGGGUGCCUGCCUGGAGAUCAGGCAGGUCGCAGUGACCGGGGCGCACUAACUGUCUAAUAACAACAUAGGUGACUGCAACUCCGAAAGGACUAGUAUAGUCACUGAUUCCUGCCCAGUGCGAGUAUCUGAAUACCGGGUUCAACCGGACGAAGGACUCGUAAACGGCGGGGGUAACUAUGACCCUCUUAAGGUAGCGUAGUACCUUGUCGCUUAAUUGGCGACUUGCAUGAAUGGAUUAAUGAGUGCGCUACUGUCCCUAACACGAAUCCGUUGAACCUUUUGUUCUAGUGCAGAGACUAGAGACUCCUGAUGGGAAGUGAAGACCCCGUUGAGCUUUACUGCAGCCUGUCGUUGAAUUACGAUAAUUCUUGCGCAGUGUAGAUGGGAGGCGUUAUAUCCAUUGCUUUCGGGUAAUGGGGAGCCAAUGAUGAGACACCAUCCUAGUUUUGUUGUAGUUCUCACUCUAACGAGGACACCGGUAGGUGGGCAGUUUGGGUGGGGCGCCACACCCUCGAAAAAAUAUCAAGGGUGCCCCAAGGUCAACUCAUGUGAGUCAGAAACUCACAGAAGAGUGUCAAGAGCAUAAGUUGGCCUGACGCGAUCACGCAUAGCAAGUGAUCGCGAGAGGAAACUCGGGUCUAACGAACCAAUAUAGCCUUUUGGUGAGGCUUAUUGACUACAGAAAAGCUACCACGGGGAUAACAGAGUCGUCGCCGGCAAGAGCACAUAUCGACCCGGCGGCUUGCUACCUCGAUGUCGGUUCUUUCCAUCCUGGCUGUGCAGCAGCAGCCAAGGGUGAGGUUGUUCGCCUAUUAAAGGGGAUCGUGAGCUGGGUUUAGACCGUCGUGAGACAGGUCGGUUACUAUCUAUCAGGAGUGUUAGAAGUCUGAAGGUAAGAAUGAAAUAGUACGAGAGGAACUUUCAUUCGGCGCCUCUAGUCGAUCGGUUGUCUGACAAGGCAGUGCCGAGCAGCCACGCGCCAAGGGAUAAAAGCUGAAAGCAUCUAAGCUUGAAACCCGGCCUAAAAAGAGACUUCGUUACAGGACAUGGGUAAAAGACCCGUUUGAUAGGCUUCGGAUGUACGCACGAAGGCAACGACGUGUUCAGUCCGGAAGUACUAACGUCCAAACACUAGUGCUC
rfam:Candidatus Methanoregula boonei 6A8, complete genome.